rnacentral:rRNA from 1 species
GACGAACGCUGGCGGCGUGCUUAACACAUGCAAGUCGAACGGUGACCUCGAGAGCUUGCUCUCGGGUGAUCAGUGGCGAACGGGUGAGUAACACGUGAGUAACCUGCCCCAGACUCUGGAAUAACCCCGGGAAACCGGAGCUAAUACCGGAUACGAGACGGAGCCGCAUGGCUACUGUCUGGAAAGUUUUUCGGUCUGGGAUGGACUCGCGGCCUAUCAGCUUGUUGGUGAGGUAACGGCUCACCAAGGCGACGACGGGUAGCCGGCCUGAGAGGGCGACGGGCCACACUGGGACUGAGACACGGCCCAGACUCCUACGGGAGGCAGCAGUGGGGAAUAUUGCACAAUGGGCGAAAGCCUGAUGCAGCGACGCCGCGUGAGGGAUGACGGCCUUCGGGUUGUAAACCUCUUUCAGCAGGGAAGAAGCGAAAGUGACGGUACCUGCAGAAGAAGCACCGGCUAACUACGUGCCAGCAGCCGCCGUAAGAC